AGCCAGGUGGCAUAGUGGUCCGAGGCGAUAGAUUUGAAAUCUAUCUCCUUUGGAGGUGUCUGUUCGAAUCAGACCUGGAUUU